rnacentral:rRNA from 1 species
UACGGAGGGGACUAGCGUUGUUCGGAAUUACUGGGCGUAAAGCGCACGUAGGCGGAUUUGUAAGUCGGGGGUGAAAGCCCAGGGCUCAACCCUGGAAUUGCCUUCGAUACUGUUUGGCUAGAGACCGGAAGAGGUAAGUGGAACUGCGAGUGUAGAGGUGAAAUUCGUAGAUAUUCGCAAGAACACCAGUGGCGAAGGCGGCUUACUGGUCCGGUUCUGACGCUGAGGCGCGAAAGCGUGGGGAGCAAACAGG